AGUCUCCGGGGUGAGGCAUAGCCCUGGAAGAAGGGGCAAAGUGGUAGACGCACCACCUAAUAUGCUGAGAGCUGUAGUCCGUUCACUGCUCUCAGCCUGUUUGUCGGUAGGCUUCAGAACUAUAAUUCCAGCAUGUACCAGGAUCCGGGGUGCAUAGCCCUGGAGGGAGGGAGGGAAAGUGCGCUGUGGACUUCCCAGUGUCCAAAGCACUGCUGAGUUCUUAUGCUAUGCCAACUUUUUGCCACGGAGAGUGAGUACAGAGGUGGACCUGGAGGACAGGUCUGGGCUGAGCGUUGAGGUACAAUAGAGACCAGCCCAGCUGUAGCUAUUAGCAGUGGAGCUUCACACCAUGCAGGGCCAGAGAAAUUGCUCCCCUUACAGAAAGUCUCAAAUGGAGAGAGGACAAUCAGACGGCUUGUUCUCUCAAUAAAUGAUCUAAUCCAAUGGAAGCAACAGCUCUGAUGGCUCUCAGACAACUUCAGCGCAUUUACUGAAGCCUCCCAUGCUCUAACUUUGACCACCAUUCAACUUCACCAUUCCUAAAUGGAACCAAUGACUGCUGCCAACUUAGCUGCACGAAACUUUUGCUUAUUGGGAAAAAAUAGAAAAGACUUAAAACUUUUGUUGCUUUCACCAUUUUAAUGCAGAAUACUUUUGCAGCACAAAUGUCACCAUAAGGUGGAGGCUCUGGAAUCCAGUAUAAACUAUCUCAGAAAACCUCAAAGUGUCCCCAACAAGCAGUAGAGGGCCUCAACAGACUCAACAAUGUCUGGACUCCAUGGCCACUGUAGUCCGACAAAACCAAAGAGGCUACGAUCUUCUCCCAGCCAGGCAAAGUGGAGCAUGUUUAUAUCUAAAAGAAGAAUGCUGUUUUUGAGAUCAAUCAGUCUGGUUUGUUAAAAGAAAAUAUUAAUAAUAUCAUCACCCGGGCAGACAAAUUUGGAUCUCUAGGAACAUCCAUGGGAACAUGAAAGCGAUGUCCAUUGCCUGCCUUGCUCUCUUUAAUAGUAUCAGUCAUUAUUAUACUUUCAGCUUUUACUUUUGUUCCAAUUUUGUUUAAAAUGUUAACUGAUUUCUUGCUCUCUUGCUUGCGGCAGCUCCAUGUUUGCAUGAUAGUUUUCCAAGGCUUUCAACCUUUGGCUGCCAAAAUCUUGCCCACUGGCUCCAUGAACGAUGUUGUUUACACCCGGUCAGAUCACACAGGAAGAAACUUUAAGGCCCAGGCUAGGCAGAAGUAACACCCACUCAGCAGGAAACAGCUCCAGAAAAAAAUGGCCUAACCCCUCAUCUUCCAAUAUGAGGAUUGCCCUAAAAUAUCUUAGGGGGAAAUUGAGGCCGAAUAGAUAGUCAAGAAAAUGACCAUGAUCUCGGGAUAGAGAAACUGUGGUGACUGUACAGCCAACACAGUAAGCCUUAGCAUUCGCAUUGUAAUUGGGCUUAUUCGAGCAAAGUUAUCCUCAUUAAGGUCUUUCUGUUCUAGAAAGCAUGUGCGUUUAGAAUUUACCUGUCCUCAAACUUCACUUUUGCUUAUUUUAAUAACAAAAAAUACACCCCCUAGCCAGGCACGGUGGCUCAUACCUGUACUCCCAGCACUUUGGGAGGCUGAGGAAGAUGGAUCACUUCAAACCAGAAGCUCGAGGCUAGACUGGCCAACAUAGUGAAACCGCGUCUCAACUAAAAAUACAAAAAUUAGCCAGAUAUGGUGGUGCAUGCGUGUAAUACCAGCUACUCAGGAGGCUGAGGCACAAGCAUGGCUUGAACUCAGGAGGUGGAGGUUGCAGUGAGCAGGGAUCACGCCACUGCACUCCAACCUGGGCAACACGGCGAGACUCUGUCUCAAACAAACAAACAAACAAACAAACAGAAAUACACUCCUGGGUGGAGAUCUAAGAUGCUAACGAGACAUGCAACAUAUGAACAAGCAUGUACAGCUACUGCGCAUGAGCACCCAGAAUACCACUCAGAACAUGCUUAGUCGCAACUCCUCUUCCUUCCUCCUUAUUAAUAAUAAUGUAAAACUCCCAUAAGCGUGUUUCUCCAGUGACAUUCCACGCUGUCUCACACUUAUGAGCAGCCCACCCUGGAAUAUCUCUGACUAUGUACUGUAUUCUGCCCUUAACUUUCAAAUAUUUUCUUUUCCAAUAAAUUAUGCUGUACUUUU